UGCAAGUCGAGCGGACAGAAGGGAGCUUGCUCCCGGAUGUUAGCGGCGGACGGGUGAGUAACACGUGGGUAACCUGCCUGUAAGACUGGGAUAACUCCGGGAAACCGGAGCUAAUACCGGAUAGUUCCUUGAACCGCAUGGUUCAAGGAUGAAAGACGGUUUCGGCUGUCACUUACAGAUGGACCCGCGGCGCAUUAGCUAGUUGGUGGGGUAAUGGCUCACCAAGGCGACGAUGCGUAGCCGACCUGAGAGGGUGAUCGGCCACACUGGGACUGAGACACGGCCCAGACUCCUACGGGAGGCAGCAGUAGGGAAUCUUCCGCAAUGGACGAAAGUCUGACGGAGCAACGCCGCGUGAGUGAUGAAGGUUUUCGGAUCGUAAAGCUCUGUUGUUAGGGAAGAACAAGUGCGAGAGUAACUGCUCGCACCUUGACGGUACCUAACCAGAAAGCCACGGCUAACUACGUGCCAGCAGCCGCGGUAAUACGUAGGUGGCAAGCGUUGUCCGGAAUUAUUGGGCGUAAAGGGCUCGCAUGCGGAUUCUUUACUUUGAU
rnacentral:rRNA from 1 species